UCCCAUUUCCGUACCUCAAAU
rnacentral:piRNA from 1 species